GAUGAACGCUGGCGGCGUGCCUAAUACAUGCAAGUCGAGCGAACAGACGAGGAGCUUGCUCCUCUGACGUUAGCGGCGGACGGGUGAGUAACACGUGGAUAACCUACCUAUAAGACUGGGAUAACUUCGGGAAACCGGAGCUAAUACCGGAUAAUAUAUUGAACCGCAUGGUUCAAUAGUGAAAGACGGUUUUGCUGUCACUUAUAGAUGGAUCCGCGCCGCAUUAGCUAGUUGGUAAGGUAACGGCUUACCAAGGCAACGAUGCGUAGCCGACCUGAGAGGGUGAUCGGCCGCACUGGAACUGAGACACGGUCCAGACUCCUACGGGAGGCAGCAGUAGGGAAUCUUCCGCAAUGGGCGAAAGCCUGACGGAGCAACGCCGCGUGAGUGAUGAAGGUCUUCGGAUCGUAAAACUCUGUUAUUAGGGAAGAACAAAUGUGUAAGUAACUAUGCGCGUCUUGACGGUACCUAAUCAGAAAGCCACGGCUAACUACGUG
rnacentral:rRNA from 1 species